GGAGGAGUAUCGAAGUGGCCGUAACGAGCUCGACUCGAAAUCGAGUUGUCCUAGUGAUAGGGCACGUGGGUUCGAAUCCCACCUCCUCCGCCA
rnacentral:tRNA from 1 species